GUCGAGCGAACUGAUUAGAAGCUUGCUUCUAUGACGUUAGCGGCGGACGGGUGAGUAACACGUGGGCAACCUGCCUGUAAGACUGGGAUAACUCCGGGAAACCGGAGCUAAUACCGGAUAACAUUUUCUCUUGCAUAAGAGAAAAUUGAAAGAUGGUUUCGGCUAUCACUUACAGAUGGGCCCGCGGUGCAUUAGCUAGUUGGUGAGGUAACGGCUCACCAAGGCAACGAUGCAUAGCCGACCUGAGAGGGUGAUCGGCCACACUGGGACUGAGACACGGCCCAGACUCCUACGGGAGGCAGCAGUAGGGAAUCUUCCGCAAUGGACGAAAGUCUGACGGAGCAACGCCGCGUGAGUGAUGAAGGCUUUCGGGUCGUAAAACUCUGUUGUUAGGGAAGAACAAGUACAAGAGUAACUGCUUGUACCUUGACGGUACCUAACCAGAAAGCCACGGCUAACUACGUGCCAGCAGCCGCGGUAAUACGUAGGUGGCAAGCGUUAUCCGGAAUUAUUGGGCGUAAAGCGCGCGCAGGCGGUUUCUUAAGUCUGAUGUGAAAGCCCACGGCUCAACCGUGGAGGGUCAUUGGAAACUGGGGAACUUGAGUGCAGAAGAGAAAAGCGGAAUUCCACGUGUAGCGGUGAAAUGCGUAGAGAUGUGGAGGAACACCAGUGGCGAAGGCGGCUUUUUGGUCUGUAACUGACGC
rnacentral:rRNA from 1 species